rnacentral:lncRNA from 1 species
GGGUAACUAAUAAUAGGAUUUGUUUUUAUUUUUGUUUUAUUUUAUUUUAUUUUUACAUUUAUUUUAUUUUGUGUUAUUAUUUUUAUUUUUUAGUUUACUUUGAUUUAGUUUUUGUUUUAUCUUAUUUGAUUUUAUAUUCUUUUCGAAAAAAGGUAAAAAAAAGAAGAAAUAAAGCAAAAGAAAAAAGAAAAGAAAUGAAAAAGGAAAAAAAAAGGAAAAAAGAAAUGAAAAAGAAAAAAAAGGAAAAUAAAAAAAAAGAAGAAGAAAAAAAGAAGAAAACGUGAAAAAAAUAAAUAAAGUUUGUUAAAAAAAAAAGAGGAACACGUUUUGGGAAUGAGGGAUGAGACAAGAUAAGAGAAAUGGUUCCUUUAGCAUUUGCAACAACCAUCAGGACCAUCAUUUCUAUUAUGCAAAAUCCGAUUACCCCAACCAAUGAUUUUUUUUCCGUUGGCAUUCACAAUUCCUCACCUUACAGAAUUUGAUUCUCCCAUUCAAUUUCAACUUCAUCUUCCAAUUAACAAAAAAGAAAAAAAAAACAGAGAAUACGAAAUAUUCAUCACCCUCCUAUCACGAAACCCAUAAACAAGACCACGCCUCAUCGCUCAAGACACGCACUACAUCUCUUUGCUUUGCCUUAUCCGUAAGGAUAUACGACUCUGAAUCAUCAACACAGAAUCCCAUUCUCUCCCCAACUUCCUUGAACCAUUUUACAGAAUCAUUUGCAUCUUCCAUUAACACAUCUCCAAGGACUCACUCAACAGAAUCACUCUUUCCAAAACCGUUUUCUCCGGCAUAGCAAAAGGGGAUUCUCCUACUGAUUCCUCCACCAUCCAUCAUCAAGCUCUUACAUGACAAUAGCCGAAUUUCACAUCACCAAAAAACCAAAACCAUCACUCUACACCUUAUUCCCAAACCAUAAACAAAGAAAAACAUGAAACAGAGGCACAAGAGAGGAACCAAUCAAGCACGGUUCAAUUUCCUCCAUUAGCUCUCACCGAAAAACACUUCUCUCAUCAUCAAUAUCAAAACCAUCGGACCUUCAUCCACUUCUACUAUCUCUUGCAACACCACCAAACAGACGGUCACGAACUGCGGCUCUACCUUUCCUACACCAAUUCUUCCCUCAAAUCUUUAUUAUCUAUCAUCGUUUCCACAAAACAAAAACAAAAACAGAGAAAACAAAAUUAACCUCCAUCUCCAUCACGCUUCCCAUUGCUAUCCGAAAUCAUUUCCCGACCACAUUCGUCUUAUGCCAAAGCCAUCUCCAAUCACCAACAAAAUUGGAUCAGCAAGCGAGAAACAUUAUACCUCUAGUCAUGGUGUCAUGGUCCCGUGAUGGUGGUCGAUAGUACCAGUAAGUAGCCGCAUCUCGUGGCGGUGGAUCUGUAAGAAGGGGAACUCACGUUACAGGAGAAAGAGGGGAAAUUGCUUGCGGCGUCACCGGCAGCGAGUUUGAUUGAAUCGGAGGUGUACGGG